rnacentral:lncRNA from 1 species
ACGAAUAAAAGGGCUAAUUCGUUAUAGUUUCCUUUUCAUUGCUACGUCUGGUAGAGUCUAUGAGACAACUUUCACCUUAUCCUACCAUUAUUUCUAGAAUUUUAUGUUUCCUUCUUUCAUGUUUAUUUGCUAUUUUGUUCCUUUUAGACAAGAAAAUAGUAUUACGUCAAAGUCUUGCACACAAGACAUUGCUAUUCAAAACAAUUGAAGCAGAAGCGAGAUUAAGUUUAAAAAGAAAGCUUCAUAGAUCAAAAGCAGUAUUUCGAUCAUAUUUCACAGAAGCAGAAGCUUCAUUUCGUUCAAUAAUUCAAGGAACAAGUAUGUUAAGGCUAUCCCUUCUUUCUUUUGUCAUGAUCCAUACGAUACGAACGAAACGUGUAAAUGCACAAAUUUCAUGAAUGACUUUAUACAUAGAAGUAUUAGAGAUAUCUAUGUUCUUGAAUUUCCGUGUAUCAUAAUAUUUUAUCAUCUAUUCAUGGAUCUCUUUUCAUGCAUUGCAUUCAUGUGCAUUGACUCAUGACCAGAUGGAGUUAUAUACGCGUAUAUAUGUAAAUAUAUGUAUAUGGGAUAUGGGAAAAGGUUACGACGUUAUAUACGCACCACCACCUGAUCAGCUGGUAUAUGACGAUGAUGUUGCCCACAGUGGCUGAAAUAUGAUUCAAACGGCGUCAUAUAUGCAUAUAUAUAUGUAUGUACUCAAAUGGCGUUAUAUACGCAUAUAUAUGUAUGCAUAUGGGAUAUGGGAAAGGUUAUGGCGUUAUAUACGUACCACCACCUGAUCAGCUGGUAUACGAUGAUAAUUUUGCCCACAGUGGCCGAUAUGAUAUGAUGGGAUGCCCUCAGAGGCUGAUGAUGUUAUGAAGCAUGUACCUAUGCACGACAUGACAUUCAUACGCACAUGCAUGACGCUAAAAGUAAUUUAUGAUUUACAAAGUUAUUCAGACUUGUAGGUUGAGUCAUUUACUCUAUAUUUCUUCCAUGUCUCUGAUGUACUUACUUAUGUGCCUUACAUACUCGGUACAUUAUUCGUACUGAUGUCCCUUUUGCUAGGGGCCGCUGCGUUUCAUGCCCGCAGGUCCCGAUAGACAGGAUGAGAGCCCUCCAAGUAGGCUAUCAGCUCAACGGAAGAUGUUGGUGUGCUCCAUUUGCUUCGGAGUUGCUUGUUUGGUUAGUAUGAUUUAGACGUGUAAUGUUUGGUAUGGCAGGACUCUAUCCCGGACUCUAUGAUAUUUAUGUAUUAUUAGAGGCUUGUAAGACAUAUGUCUUGUACGUGAAAGAUUAUACGGCCUUGUCGGCCUAUAUUUUGAGUUGAUAAUGAUUAUGCUGGCCUAUUAGGCCCGUAUGUCACGUGUAUAUGAUGAUGUAAUAAUAAAGAUACGUUCCAUUGAUACUCGAUUGAGUAAGGUACCGGGUACCCGUCGCGGCCCAUCGGUUUGGGUCGUGAUAUAAUGUAUACA